UUUCCGUAGGUGACCUGCGGAGGAUCAUUA
rnacentral:rRNA from 2 species